rnacentral:lncRNA from 1 species
AAAAAAACCAUUAAGGGGGGAGCACCCAGCCAGCUAUAGCAUGAGAAUUUUUUUUAACUCCCCACCCACCGUCUGACACGUGGCAGAGGAUGAAAAAUUGCAAAAUAAAAAAAAAGAUCCUCCUUCAUCUAGAAACAUGCUCGUGUGAAACAAAACAAACAGAGAAAACCAUUUCUCUACUUUCUCUCUCAUGAUCCUUCCAUUCCCACUUGUUCAUUCCUCUCUUCUCUUUUUCUUUCAAACUUACAUAUUCAAGAAAAUAAAAAGCAAAAUUUCUAAAAAUCAAAAGAAACCUCCACAAACUUCAAACAAUAUUUAAACAAAAUGGAAAGCAAAGAAAAAGCUACCAAAUAGAGACUUCGUGGCGGUCGACGGCGGUUUGUCGUAUGUCUCGGUCGUUCGGAAUUUCACGG